CCUACGGGAGGCAGCAGUGGGGAAUAUUGGGCAAUGGGCGCAAGCCUGACCCAGCAACGCCGCGUGAAGGAUGAAGGUUUUCGGAUUGUAAACUUCUUUUAAGAGGGACGAUAAUGACGGUACCUCUUGAAUAAGCCCCGACUAACUACGUGCCAGCAGCCGCGGUAAUA
rnacentral:rRNA from 1 species